rnacentral:rRNA from 1 species
CGGAGGGUGCGAGCGUUGUCCGGAAUCACUGGGCGUAAAGGGCGCGUAGGUGGCUUCUCAAGCGCGCGGUGAAAGCCCGGGGCUCAACCCCGGGUCGGCCGUGCGGACUGGGAGGCUCGAGCACUGUAGGGGCGGGUGGAAUUCCGGGUGUAGCGGUGGAAUGCGUAGAGAUCCGGAAGAACACCGGUGGCGAAGGCGGCCCGCUGGGCAGGAAGGCCUCGUAAGGGGCCGGCUGACACUGAGGCGCGACAGCGUGGGGAGCAAACAGGAUUAGAUACCCUGGUAGUCCACGCCGUAAACGAUGGGCACUAGGUGCCUGGGGGAGCGACCCCCCGGGUGCCGGCGCUAACGCAUUAAGUGCCCCGCCUGGGGAGUACGGCCGCAAGGCUG